GAUAAAGGGACUAUAGAGGCCAAGGGAUUUGGAACCCUUCCUUGUUGCCGAGUGCAAUUUUGUACACUGAUGAAUCCUGCUUGCUACAAAGCAGUGAAUAAAUGAACUAGACAUUUUCUUCUGGUGGGAAACAUCCUGUGACAAAAAGAAAGAACAGAGCAUCUCAGGAAGACAUACAAGAAAAGCCAGCUGCGGGUACACGAAGAGGUUUAAUUUUGCUGUCCUGGAUGCCCUGCCUUCUGCAGCACAUCGCAGCGUGUUGAGCCACAGCAGAGGGAGAAGUGCAGAAUCCAGGUAGAUGUUACGCAUCCGUUUUGCAAAAUGUAACCUUUGAUGUGAAGAGGAGAUGGCAGUAGUUAUAAAAGAAAACAUUAUUUCCAUAUCAAAAUGCAGCUUUCCUCAUAUUUUUUCAUUUGGAUUUUUGAGGAGAUUUGGCCUCAGCUAUUUUCAGCAAAAGUAUGAGCAACCAGUGGUGAGUAGCAAAUGUGUCUCUUAAAGCUGUUAGUGCAACAGCAACAUGUCCCACACGGACCAUUCCCACAGUACUGGCAGCAGUACACAACAGAGAAACUUUGAUGUUCCCCUGCCAUCUUCUUUUGAACCCCUACCCAAUUAUAUCUUUUAUUUCCUUGUGUGUGUGUGUGUGAGUAAAUGUAAGGCACAUAAAAUUCAGCCAGCAUUCACAACCGCACAACUACAAAGAACCUAUUCUUUAGAGUGACUCUA